CCCUAAAUCCUAUUCGUAAACGAGUAUUCACUAUCGCCGCUCUCUAGUCUCCGACUCUCACUCUCCGGAGUCUCCGGUCUCCACAGUCACACUCACACAUAUCGCCGCUCUCUAGUCUCCGACCCAUCGUCUGCAACAUAUCACCGCUCCUGUGUUCAUUCUGCAACAGUUCGUCGGACGGUCUUCAAUCUCCAGUCUUCAAUCUGCAACAAGAUGUCUUCUUACAAAGAAUCAAACGAGAAUCCGGCUGCUCAUGUUGAUUCGACUGAUGGAGAGGACGACCCGAAUCCAAUAAUUGAUGAAUCGGGUGAUACCAUUUUAAAGUGUCUUAUAAAAUGGGGUAUCCAAGACAAAAUAGGUACCAUAACUUUAGACAAUGCAUCGAACAAUGAUUGGGCAGCCAACAUUUUGAUGAGUAAUUUUAAGGGAAAGGGGAAGUUACACUUUGAUGGUUUGUUUUUUCAUAUAAGAUGUUGUGCUCACAUCUUAAACUUGGUAGUGCAAGAUGGUUUAGGAACUAUCGAAUCAAGAGUCUUGAGAGAUGCAGGUUCUACUCCCACUUGGUGCAGAGUGAGGCACUAGUGGCAAUGAUAGAAGACCCAGGGAAAUCUGGGUUGGAUCCUUGAGCCAAACGGGUUUUACUGGACAGACCCCGGAAGAUGAAUCUCAGUUCCAAAGAAUGGGUAAUCAGCAAGCAAUGGCAACAGGGCAACCACCUAAUGCAAUGCGUCAGCCAGCUGGCAAGCAGGUCCCUUUUGCACUGCUGCUACCUGUUUUAGAACCACAGCUUGACAAAGACCAGGCUAGGCAACUCCAGGGCCAAUAUGUUCGAUUAAAGAGCAAUGUCAUAAAUAAAGAAGAAUUUGUCCGGCACAUGCGAAGUCUUGUAGGAGAUCGUAUGCUGAAGAUGGCAGUCUAUAAACUACAACAAAGGCAGUCUGCUGGAGACUCUUCAUUGGCAUCUGGAAGUAAUGCAAAGACUUCCCCCGAAAAGCCGACUGUUGGCCAGAAAAAAACGUUAGAAGCACCUGUUUCUUCGCUAAGUAAGAAGCAGAAAGUGUCUGAAGCAUUUUCGGAUCAGCAGCUUAAUGACGUAACUGCUGUCAGCGGAGUGCGUCUCAGGGUAUGUGUUAUUCACUUGCAAAGACACGAGUUUCAGGAAAACUCUUAGUUAUUUCGGUGAAAAUUUGGUCCUCUAGGAAGAAAAAGAUCAAUUGUUUUCUGGGUCCAAAGAGGGUAGCCGAGUUUCAGAAGAUUCUAGAAAGGUUGCUCAAGCACCCCAAAAGAAAUUGGAUGAGAUCAAUGUUUUAACAGCGGCAAAACGUGGUGUAAAGAACCAAAGCAAUGACGUGGAACGAUUCUUGUCACAGCUCGAGAUAGUUCAAGCGGAAUUAGAAAAAGAACAAAAGGCCCGACAAAACAUAGAAGCUCGUUUUGAACAAUUUAAACAAGAGCGGGAACAAGAACGUGCAGAACGUGAACGACAGCGAGAACAAGAACGAGUCGAACGAGAGCGGGCUGAACAAGCGGAAUGGCAUAAAAACAUGGAAGAAAUGUUGAAAAACUUUCUAAAACAAGAGCGGGCCGAACAAGCGGAACGGCAUAAAAACAUGGAAGAAAUGUUGAAAAAGUUUCUAAAACGAGAGCGGGCCGAACAAACGGAACGGCAUAAAAACCUGGAAGAAAUGUUGAGAAAGUUUCUAAAUAAGUAAAAAAAAAAAAGCUUAGAUUUGUAAGUUUUGUAAUAAAAAAACUGCCA